CGCCAAUUCUGGUAGCUUGUGGA
rnacentral:siRNA from 1 species